AGACUACUGAUGCCGUGAUCUCUGAAAUAGAUACCAACAAGGAUUGAAUAAGACUGGAGACUGGACUUGUGUCUUCGUUGGUCUGCACAGACGGAGCAAAGAUUAUUCUCACUUUUUAGUUACUUAUAUGAUUUUGAAUUAAGGUAAAAGGAAGAUAUCAUGGUUAAAGGAGAAUCUAAUAGUUACGCUAAAACCAGCCUACUAAACAUGAUUGUACUACUAUUUGAUACAUUUUCCUCGGUUAUUUUCUAUUGAUUCUAGAUUCUUUCCAUGGAAUAUUCCUUGUAGUGUAAAGAUUGCAGGCUAAGUUUACAAAAUAAGAAGGAAAAGCGGAGAAGCAAGACCAGGAAAUACUGUAACUAAAAUAGUUGAUUUUGUUCAAAUUUUGCUAUAUUUUCCUUUCUCCUCUAAAAGUUUCUGUCUGUCUUCCUUUCAGAGAGGGAGGAGGAAACUUGCUGUGCCCCCACGAAGAUGAAUCGAUCUGGCAGGUUAUUCACUAGAUCAUGAAGUUAUGUGACAAGCAGGAUGAAGCAUGAGUAGAAAACAACAAAGGAGAAAAGAAGGAGGAGUUGAUGAUAUUGAUACCCAGGUCCAAUCGGAGCUACUGCUUGAAAUGACCAUCAUGGCUUCAGAGCCUGGCCUCAUAAACUCCAGAAUGGCUACCUCCCUUCUGACAAACACAUCUUAAAGGAUGAGGAUUGGCAGUGGACUACGACUCACUCAUGCUUUCCCUCGUAUAAUUUCUAAUCCCAUUGAAACUGAUGGAAGGCUUUAAUUCCUGGAAAGCUUCUGACCUUAUUCUCUUCCUCUCUCUGUUUCUCAUGUAUUUCUGUUUAGUUACUUUGUAAUUUACAUUUGUGAGGCUUUCAGUCUGAGACAGGUAACUUGAUAAGAGAAGAGCAAGUCACACAAGACAUUGACUGAGUCAGUUUCAAGGUGACAUGAGCAUUGAAUUGUUACAACUGAUUUGGUGUAAGGUUCCUUUCUGAUUUGAAUUUGUUAGUUGGCUGUGCGUUUGAA